GACGAACGCUGGCGGCGUGCUUAACACAUGCAAGUCGAGCGGUAAGGCCCUUUCGGGGGUACACGAGCGGCGAACGGGUGAGUAACACGUGGGUGACCUGCCCUUAGCUCUGGGAUAAGCCUGGGAAACUGGGUCUAAUACCGGAUAUGACUCCAUGACGCAUGUUGUGGGGUGGAAAGCCUUGUGCGGCUAGGGAUGGGCCCGCGGCCUAUCAGCUUGUUGGCGGGGUAACGGCCUACCAAGGCGACGAUGCGUAGCUGGUCUGAGAGGACGAUCAGCCACACUGGGACGUGAGACACGGCCCACGACUCCUACGGGAGGCAGCAGUGGGGAAUCUUGCGCAAUGCGCGAAAGCGUGACGCAGCAACGCCGCGUGGGGAAGAAG
rnacentral:rRNA from 1 species